rnacentral:miRNA from 1 species
GUCUGUGUGUGUGUUUGUGUGUGGUUGUCUGCCUGUGUGUUUGUGUGUGGCUGUCGGGCAGACAGCCACACACAAACACACAGGCAGACAGCCACACACAGAUAGC